AUACGUAGGUGACGAGCGUUAUCCGGAUUUAUUGGGUUUAAAGGGAGCGUAGGCGGACUAUUAAGUCAGCUGUGAAAGUUUGCGGCUCAACCGUAAAAUUGCAGUUGAUACUGGUCGUCUUGAGUGCAGUAGAGGUAGGCGGAAUUCGUGGGGGAGCGGUGAAAUGCUUAGAUAUUACGAAGAACUCCGAUUGCGAAGGCAGCUUACUGGACUGUAACUGACGCUGAUGCUCGAAAGUGUGGGUAUCAAACAGGAUUAGAUACCCUGGUAGUCCACACAGUAAACGAUGAAUACUCGCUGUUUGCGAUAUACGGCAAGCGGCCAAGCGAAAGCAUUAAGUAUUCCACCUGGGGAGUACGCCGGCAACGGUGAAACUCAAAUGAAUUGACGGGG
rnacentral:rRNA from 1 species